CGGCGCACGGGUGAGUACGCGUAUGGAACUACCUGAAGCAGGUGGAUAGAUUCCGGAAACGGGGAUUAUACCCCAUACGAUUCAUUUGUGGCCUCACAAAUGGAUAAAAGCUACGGCGGUUUCAGAUGGUCAUGCGUGCCAUUAGUUAGUUGGUGAGGGUAAGGCUCACCAAGGCGAUGAUGGUUAGGGGUCCUGAGAGGGUAGUCCCCCACACUGGUACUGAGACACGGAGCAGAGCGGAGAGCNGGANGCAGCAGUGAGGAAUAUUGGUCAAGUGGGCGCUAGCCUGAACCAGCCAUGCCGCGUGCAGGAAGACGGCCCUACGGGUUGUAAACUGCUUUUCUGCAGGAAGAAUAUAUAGUCUUAGGGCUAUAUUGACGGUACUGCAGGAAUAAGCAUCGGCUAACUCCGUGCCAGCAGCCGCGGUAAUACGGAGGAUGCAAGCGUUAUCCGGAUUCAUUGGGUUUAAAGGGUGCGCAGGCUGUAAAGCAAGUCAGUGGUGAAAGCCCUGGGCUUAACUCAGGGAUUGCCAUUGAAACUGUUUUACUAGAGUGUAGUAGAGGACGGCGGAAUGAGUUGUGUAGCGG
rnacentral:rRNA from 1 species